CAAAUGUCAGGCUUCAGUUUUAAUUAAGUAAUUAACUAAAAUGUUAUAUAGAAUAGACAAGAAAAAAGUUCAAUUGUGUAAUUUAAUUUUAAUUGAAUGAAAUAAGUUAGUGAGGACUAGCUGCUGUUUCAUGAGUUUUCAUAGGGCAGAGAAUGGGUUUUAACAGCAGAGACGGGGGGUAACAUUGAGUCUAAUUCUAUUUAAUUAGCAAUGCCCAACCUUUCUCAACAGAAAAGCAAUACUCUUAUUAAAUAAUACCGAAAGUGCAAUGGAUUUUGGCCCAAAGUAAUGAAGAUGUGACCUCUACAAAUAAACAUUUCCCGAGAGUGGAUUCUGCAUGCAUCCAAAAGGGUAUAUUUGAAAAACAAGUUAAAAAGUAACUACAUCACUUCCAGUAACUUCAGGACCUACAGCAGCAUAGACUUCCCCCACUACCCCCACCACAGCCAGAGAUGAAAUAAAGUGCUUCAAGAAGCCGACUCCAAGAUUCCUGGUUGUCAAAAAUGGAAAGAGGAACGCUACAAGUUAAGUUACUGACGCUCUCUGUACUCUACAUACCUCAGAAGUCUGAAAGAACCCAAGGUUACACAGAAGAAAAAAUGCAAGAAAAAUAUGUCAUUGAGAUUGAUUGUAAUGGCCAGCUGUUAUAAUCUCAGUGGAAGUAUUAGAGCCCCUGCCUAAGGUGCACUGAAGAGUGCCAAGCCUCAUAGCAACUCAGCUCAUCCUAAAAAGCACCGUGGCCCGGAGUGAAAGCUGCAAUUUAAAAAUCUCCCAGAGACCCAUUAUUUGCAAAUCAUUGACACAACAAACUGUAACAACCCUGGUCCUCCUUGUCAAUGCAUGCUUAGGGAGCUUUUCAUCCACAGAACCUUGCAUGCUCAAUAACUUUCCAUACUAAAAAUCCUUAUGAAAUUUCUGAAGAAAAUGAGUAACUGCGCACGGGCCAGAAUCGCCUUUUAAACGUUAAAAGAGAAAAUUACAGUCAACUACACUAGUUGGUGGUAUCAUAUGCGGAAGAGAAUCCUCACAAGUCAAAAGUAAGUUUACAUGUUACCAUAUUGCUUAAAAUAAAGCCAACUGGUUAUUCA
rnacentral:lncRNA from 1 species